rnacentral:rRNA from 1 species
CCUACGGGAGGCAGCAGUGAGGAAUAUUGGUCAAUGGACGAGAGUCUGAACCAGCCAAGUAGCGUGAAGGAUGACUGCCCUAUGGGUUGUAAACUUCUUUUAUCUGGGAAUAAAACGUUCCACGUGUGGGAUUUUGUAUGUACCAUAUGAAUAAGGAUCGGCUAAAUCCGUGCCAGCAGCCGCGGUAAUACGGAGGAUCCGAGCGUUAUCCGGAUUUAUUGGGUUUAAAGGGAGCGUAGGUGGAUUGGUAAGUCAGUUGUGAAAGUUUGCGGCUCAAACGUAAAAUUGCAGUUGAAACUGGCAGUCUUGAGUACAGUAGAGGUGUGCGGAAUUCGUGGUGUAGCGGUGAAAUGCUUAGAUAUCACGAAGAACUCCGAUUGCGAAGGCAGUUCACUGGACUGCAACUGACACUGAGGCUCGAAAGUGUGGGUAUCAAACAGGAUUAGAUACCCUGGUAGUC